rnacentral:lncRNA from 1 species
GCUCCCAUGUGUGUAUAACAAUCAAACGACAUAUUCAAUUAGAGUAAGAACAGAAUGGCAAUCGGCUUAGGUGAUGCUUUGUUUAUCACCUGUAUAGGAAUUAUCCUGCUAUUUGCAGUUGUCUGUAACUUCUUGGUAAUUUUCGUGGUAUGGAGGAACAAAAAAAUGAGAAAUGUUACGAAUAUCCUUAUAUGUAAUUUAUCAGUCAGUGAUAUAAUCCAUGCAGGGAUUAUCCUGCCUCAGAAUCUACAUGAUAUAUCCCACGAAGAGGAAUUCCAUGAGUGUAAGAUUAAUAUUGUGGUACUUUAUUAGUUAAGCUCAGUAUUUUUACCUAGAAUUUCAGUAAUUUUUAAAAUCCUCACAGAUACCCAGAUAAAUGUGUACAUUAUACGUGUUUUGUUUUUAACAAAAUACUCAUCAGUUACGCUAAAAUAAAAAAAGUUUAUAAAGAAAAAGAAAUUAAACACACGAAAGAUUUGUAAUUCUAAGAAAAGAUGUCAAUUAUAUGUUGAGUCUCAUAUGUUAUAUGGGUAUUUAUACUGCGUGUUAUACGGGUAUUUAUACUGCAACAGUGGUAUUUCAGAAGUCAUAUUGUAUUGAGUGUAUUAUUAUUUGUUAUAUAUCAACACGGGAAGUAUAGAAAAGUGUCCUUUAAGUUAGCAAUACGUAUCCAUAUUAUAUACAAAUGUGAUAUAUACAGUUGCCAAGGAGUAUUGUUAAAAUAUGCUGUUUCGAAAAAGAAAAAAAAACCUGCAUA